AAAACGGCGCUAUUAAGCUCCACAAAAAUGCACUUUAAAAGACUGU
rfam:Toxocara canis scaffold1677, whole genome shotgun sequence.